rnacentral:rRNA from 1 species
GACGAACGCUGGCGGCGUGCUUAACACAUGCGAGUCGAACGGUGAAGCGCCUUCCUUUUUGGUGGGUGUGGAUGAGUGGCGAACGGGUGAGUAACACGUGAGUAACCUGCCCCCUUCUUCUGGAUAACCGCAUGAAAGUGUGGCUAAUACGGGAUAUUCUGGGUCUGUCGCAUGAUGGGUCUGGGCAAGAUAUUGUUUCGGUGGGGGAUGGGCUCGCGGCCUAUCAGCUUGUUGGUGGGGUGAUGGCCUACCAAGGCGGUGGCGGGUAGCCGGCCUGGGAGGGUGGACGGCCACACUGGGACUGCGGCCCGGCCCGGACUCCUACGGGAGGCAGCCGUGGGGAAUAGUGCACAAUGGGCGCAAGCCUGAUGCAGCGACGCCGCGUGAGGGAUGGAGGCCUUCGGGUUGUGAACCUCUUUCGCCAGUGAAGCAGGCCUGCCUCGUUUGUGGGUGGGUUGACGGUAGCUGGAGAAGAAGCGCCGGCUAACUACGUG